AAAAAAGUCUAUAAGAAAGAGAUUUUCUUUUAUGAAGAAACCUAAAGCUGCCUGCCCUAGGUGUUGUGUCCAGUGCUUCUAGCUGCAGUGACCAUGAACUGCCAUGAUCCCCUGUGUCCUCUGAGCCACCCAGAGAUGAAAAGUCUGACAGUGCCACGUGUGACCGUCUAUCGGUGGUGCAGAAAUGUGGUCUGCUCGGGAAGAUCCCCCCUAAAAAUGGCAUUUGCCAGGCUUUGACAAGCCAGAAUUCCUGCAUCAGUGAAGGCCUUGCUAUGGGUUAGAGACACAACUCUACCCUUACCAUGUCAGUCAUACUCGGGGGAGCCGUAAAUCACGAGUCACAAUAUGGCACAGUAUGGGCUCUUGUGAUGUGGAUGAAGAGGCAGAUGGAGGAGAAAGGAUUUGACGUGUCUUGGACCAGCACUCCUAUUUUUCCGGUGCCUGGGAACAAGGAGACAUCAGCCAGAUUCAGGGCGUCGUGUGAAGAUCUGGCUUCACUCAUCGCUCGUUGUUGAGCACCGGGAGCAAAAAUGUAGCAAAUAAUGCAAAGAAAAUCCUUCUAAGAGAUCUGGG
rnacentral:lncRNA from 1 species